CGGCAACCUCGGGAACAGGGCACGGAGGUGCUGCCUCGACAUUUCUCAUUUUUAUGUCUUCACACCCACACCUUGUUAUAUAACAUACAAAUACAUGUUCAUUUCGUGAGAAUUGUUACGUAACACACAAAUACACACAAACCCAGUGAGACUCGUGAAAGGCCUGCUCUCCGCCAUCUCCACCAUCAUGGCUGACAGACAAGCGGAGGGUGGGGAUGCUCGGUCUGCCUCAGAAACUCCCCCUCUCCAAACUUCUCAGCGACUUUGGAGGUAUUGAACGCUGGGAUAGCUCAUGGAAAGAGAUGGUGGCUCAGAUUCUUAGUUCACUGGUGAUUAAACAUUCCCAAAAGAGACUGACAGAUACAGAGAAAGCACAUUUAAACCAUUUAUGGAGAACAGAGAGGCCUUAUCAUUUAGAGGGCCAAAAGAGAGACCGUGUAACACAGCUCUUCGUGGUAUUUCAUGUCUACAAAAAAAAUCCCCGUGCUUUCUAGAUUCUGUGUGGAGGGCCUGCUUGUCUGCUGUGGCUCUUCACGGUAGAGAUGAGGUCAACUUGUCUCAGAGGCGAUUGAGGUUAGAGGAUAUGAUGGAGAAUAUGAAGUCGCUAGCUGCCUACAUGCCAGGGAAGGGCUUAGUCAUCAGGGAGAGGCAGCUGAUCCCAGGCGACAGAAGCACUGUUACAUGUCUCACAGCCAGCUGCAAUUCAGCCAAGAGACAGAGCUUGGGGAUUAAUAGGACCCAAGAACUAUCAGCUAAGAUGGACUGGACCUCAGGCAGCCUGAAUGAACUUGACACGCUUUAUAUGAUUCUUCCCCAGCUUCCCAUGGGUGGCCUUGAACUCACGACAAGCACUGUUCAUCAAGCAUCAGAAAGAAGAGAUGACAGCAGGAAGAGUAGAACACACUUCCUUAAUCCUUCAAAAGUGAGCUUUUGAAGAAAGCCAGCUCCAUGGUUGACGUUCCUUCCGAUAUGACAUGUACCGUGGAAGGAAAAUAAAACCACAUACAGACAAAUAUCUGUACCUUUGACAUUUAUUCAACUCUAAAGUUUAAGGGGAUUUUUCUUCUCAUUCUAUGUACUACAAUGGUAUAAUCAAACAUGGGUCUGCCUCGGAUAGGGGCAUAUCAGUGUCUCCCAUGGUACAGCAGUGGAUUUCUGUUGCCCAAGGACCCCUGGCCCUGUUCCCUGCCUGUCUGCUGGUUAUUGUCAGGUAAGAGCAUGAGGUUUAAGUGUGUGGAAGGGACAGUGACAGAGAUACCUAGGUCUU
rnacentral:lncRNA from 1 species